rnacentral:rRNA from 1 species
AUUGAACGCUGGCGGCAUGCCUUACACAUGCAAGUCGAACGGUAACGGGCCUUCGGGUGCCGACGAGUGGCGAACGGGUGAGUAAUAUAUCGGAACGUACCUUUCAGUGGGGGAUAACGUAGCGAAAGUUACGCUAAUACCGCAUAUUCUGUGCGCAGGAAAGCAGGGGACCUUCGGGCCUUGCGCUGAUUGAGCGGCCGAUAUCAGAUUAGCUAGUUGGUGAGGUAAAGGCUCACCAAGGCGACGAUCUGUAGCGGGUCUGAGAGGAUGAUCCGCCACACUGAAACUGAGACACGGUCCAGACUCCUAGGGGGGGCAGCAGUGGGGAAUUUUGGACAAUGGGGGCAACCCUGAUCCAGCCAUGCCGCGUGAGCGAAGAAGGCCUUCGGGUUGUAAAGCUCUUUCGGCCGGGAAGAAAUCGUAUCAGCUAAUACCUGGUGCGGAUGACGGUACCGGCAUAAGAAGCACCGGCUAACUACGUGCCAGCCGCCGCGGUAAAAC